CAAAACAGACAUUGCCCUUAUACAAGAAACCCACAUACCCAGAACAGCAUCAGUAACCCUGAAAGACAGAUACUUCCCACAGACCCACGAAGCGAAAGCGCUACACAAACGCGCCGGAGUGGCAAUAUUAGUACACAAAAACUGCCCACUCCAGGUGACAGGGACACUAGCUGACCCAGAAGGCCGCUACAUCGUAAUAACAGGCACGAUACACAGCACAAAAAUAAGAAUCAUUAAUGUGUAUGCUCCUAACAUAACAGAAC